rnacentral:lncRNA from 1 species
AGAUGUGUAGUUGUGGAUAGCCCCACAAGAGAAAAGCCCAUAGGGGUGAUAGUGGAGAGAGUGGAGAUUGCCAGACUGGAAGUGGAAACCGUACAGGGAGUGGAGACUGGAGAGUGGAGAGGGACCGAUUGGUAAAUUAAAUUCCUUUGUUCCCACUAAUACAUAUAUAGUUGUAAAUUGGUCAAACCCGAAUUGGUCUCGGCUGCUAAAUCAAAUUAUCGUCCUCUGCACCUUUUCGCCUAAACUUUUAUCUGUUCAGGUGCUCUCAGUCUCAGGUUCUUUCUUAUGUGUGAAAUUUCUGUAUGUUAUUUUUUUUUUGCUACUUUGUUUUUGUUUUCAUUUUUUAGAUUGUUGAAAUCCGCACCCUAAUGUUGACGCAUUACGCAUAUAAUUGUGUUAGCUGAGUAAUUACAUGAACCUUUGUUUGAGUGGUGAAAGUCUGGUAGUUCGAACCCUAAUUUACGGUUCAUAAAUUGCCCAAUGAUGCACACAUAGAUUGUUGAGCGGCUACUCGUGUUCCUUCAUAACCUGAUCUGUACUUCUCUCUCUCUCUCUCUCUCUCUCUCUCUCUCUUGAAUAUGCUAUGUUCUUUUUCUUUUACUUUUUCUCAUUAUUUUUCUUUUGUUUUUCUAUCACUCUCUUGUCUUUCUCUCAUGGCUCUGAAAACCAAACUGAACUUGUGAAAGCUGCAGAGACGGUUAUGAAUGGAAUUCGGGUGUCUAAAGCCGCAUAUGAUUCUCUACUAAGCUAUGAGAUCUGAGGGCUUUUUCUUCGUUUUCCCCUUUAGGAUUAUUAUUACUGUUUCAUACAAAAAUUAGCGCACAUAAUUUUCUGUUGAUUCUGUUUGUGUAUGUUAAUGUUGCCCAAUGAUGGAGAAAUUAGACUAUUGAGUAGCUACGUGGUUCUGUUUUCUAGCUGGACGUGCACCAUUGACUCCACUCUCUCUCUCUCUCUUUCUCUCUCUUAAUCCAUCUCUGCGUAUGUGUGGGUGUGUGUGUGUCUGGAGGGAGUGUUACCAUAUAUAAUAGCAAUGAAUAAUCAUAAUAAUCAAUUAAUUCAAUGGUGCAAGAAGGCUGUUAAUGAAGCCCGUUUCAAAAGCUACACUUGAUUUCUAUAUAGCUAUCAGAUCUGAGGGCUAUGCAUAUCUUUUUCCUUUAAGAAACGAUAAUUAGGAUGUAUGUUUAUUGUCUAGUAGGGAGGGGCCAACUGGUGUCUUAAAUGUUGCUAUCGUUAGUUUAAUCGGAAGGGUUCUGACAGUAGAUAACCAUGAUACUGGCUACUAUGCAUUGUGCAUGGAUAAUCUGUGAAGGACAUAUCUAAUUUCAUAAUCAAUUCAUCCAACCCUGAAAUCUCAGUUUUGUUGGCAAGUGGAGCUGCUUUAUUUUUCUGCAUUGCCCUUUGUGAUUGCUGGCUUGGCUCUAGUUAAACUUUGGAUUUCUUUAUAUUUCAAUCUACAAGUUAAGGAUUAUACUUCAAUCUUAUCUUUCAAUCAUGCAGUGGAAAUUUACCCUAAUUUUCUCUAAUUUCCCUAAUCAUAUUAUCUAUAUAAAAGCAACAAUGAUUUUUAAAGAAACUUUUUAUUUUUAUCUAACCUUUCUGGAUGUACUUUCCUUUCUGUAAAUUAGUAUUGCUUGUGUCAUUUGACAUAGCUUGAGAUUGAGUCUGGCGUACACGAGUGAGGUUGAUCACUGUGCAUACAUUAUGUUAAACAAAAUUACAAAGAUUUUGGUUGCAUCCCCAACUAUUACCUAUUGGUGGUGGUGCUAAAGAUCUUUCAAAGUUCAUACUCUUGAAGAGGAGGACAUUUACCAUAUCAUGCAAUUCCUAUUCAUUCAGGAAGAAACUCUUGCGGGCAAUCUUGAAGAGAAGGGAAUUUACAAUUGGCGUGACUGUAAUACAACUUUAUUUUAUUUGUAGUCUUGUCAUGGAUCAUGGAUGGUUA